GGCUGUUUGGUUAUUUUGCUUUGGGAAGCCUGACACCCAUUGGUACCUAAGCCGGUUAGUUUUUAAGAAAACAAAAACUGCAAUGAUAAACUAGAACUGCAAGCAGUUAUGACUGUGUCCAAGCCUCUCUGAC